rnacentral:rRNA from 1 species
UACAGAGGGUGCAAGCGUUGUUCGGAAUUAUUGGGCGUAAAGCGCGUGUAGGCGGCUUUACAAGUCGGGUGUGAAAGCCCUCGGCUCAACCGAGGAAGUGCGCCCGAAACUGCAGAGCUUGAGUACCGGAGAGGAUGGCGGAAUUCCCCAAGUAGAGGUGAAAUUCGUAGAUAUGGGGAGGAACACCGGUGGCGAAGGCGGCCAUCUGGACGGAUACUGACGCUGAGACGCGAAAGCGUGGGGAGCAAACAGG